AGUAGACAGCUUUGAAUGAACUAUAAAUAAUAGUUGAAUUAUAGAGAAUGUUGCAUAUGAACAUGAAAUGUAUUAAAUUGAUAAUUAAAUUUAUUUAUUUAGAUCCAGAAGAUUCAAAUACGAAGCUAGAUCGAGGAAAGGAAAAAGUUCGGGAUUAGUAGAUUUUUUUUGUUUACAAACAAGUAUCAAGUGUUAAGAGCUCGGAGGUCGGAUUUGGUCGGAGACACAUCACACUAUCAACCUCAGGACUUUGGUAUAUAAAGAAACUUUAUUUUGGAAAUCAAUGGCAUGUAUAAGCUAAUAAAGUAAAUGAUUCUGUGAAAUGAAUGUAGAGUUAGCCAUUGGUAUGGUUAACAAACCUGGUUUUGGGUAUGUGAUGACGUUAUUUUAUAAAUAUACAUGAAUUUAUCUUGAAAA